rnacentral:lncRNA from 1 species
UAUCUACUGAAUUUGGACUAGAAUUUACAACAUCAGUUUUCUUUUUUCUCAGGCCUUUGAAUUUGGACUUGGACUAUACCACCAGCUCUCCUUCAUCUCUGGCUUGCAGGUUAAGUGGCAUAGAGGAUUCAAAGAAACAUAAACCCUGAUUGCUGACUGCUGGGCGACCAUGAUAACACUUUUGAAAUAACCCAGGAAUAAUAUGAUACAGUAUUUAAAACUCAAGUUGGCAGCCAAGGCUACUGUGAGAAUUUAACGGAAUUCCAACAUCCUUCAGUGAGCCCAUCAGUGUCAAAAAAGCACAGUGGCAAAGAGAAGUUGAUCCCUCACCAUAUUGUUUCAGCCUGCACUUGCCGCAAGAGGAGUAGAGCCUGCAAAAUCCCUGAAAUCAAUAUUCUUUACUGUUGUGCCAGGAUUUAUCGAGCUCAC